GACUAACUCGCCGCUACGGUGGCUACUAACCCAAGGUGACCAGAGUAACGGGAACCAGGACACAGGACAAGCUGGGCAAAUUCAACUCUCACUUUUUCCAGGGCUGGAAGGAGCCUUCCCGACUUCCGGCGCAGAUAUUUACCAUCCUGUUACUGCAAUCUGGAAGCAUAUACCAAGAGAAAUCCACAAGGAGACAGCACUGCAUUCACCAUUGGGAAACAGCUGUUAUGGAGUCCUCCUAGAUCUUCAAGGAACUUUAUGUGAGCCAGAACUGAACCUUUGAGGUAAAAGGCACAAAGUCAGGUAUGUUAUUACCUCACCAAAGCAUAGUUUAUUUUGAGCAGAAAACAACAAGGUAAUGAAUGACCUCAAGAUGACCUGGAACUCACUCUAUAAACCAGACUGGCCUUGAUCUCACAGAGAUCCACCUGCCUCUGCCUCCCAAAGGCUGAGAUUAAAGGUGUAUACCUCCAGGACUGGCUUGAGUUGAGUUUUGAAGGGCUAGUAAUGGUGUGAUAUUGUAGGACAAAAAGGUUUUCCUCAACUCAAUAGAACCUGGCCACUUGAAAAACCAGAGAAAAGCUUGGAGAUAAGAGUAAAUUAAUAAUCCACAUGCUAAGGAGGUAGUAGCACAGUGUACUAAGUGUCAGAUAUAUCAGAAAAAUGUAUCAUAAAAACCUGAUGUUCAAGAGUCCUGGUUGGGCGAAUGCUGACAUGACUCUGUCAGCAGUCCCAGACUGUGUGAGUUAGGGCUUCUAGUGUACGCUCUACCUUUGCAAACACCUUCCUACUUACUGAAAACAACAGCCUGUAAUAAUACUUAGCAGAGAUGACCAAAAUAAAACAUCCUACCCUUUGUGAUGUGUACAUGUGGAAAUGCUCUUAAUCUUUAAAUGCACUCAUUUAUGGCUUUUAUGGGUACCAAGCUACUGUUGUUCACUUUAAUGGUAAUUUCAUCUGUCUUACGAUUUUCAAAAAACAAUUUUCAGUUUUUUACUCCCAAAAGUACAUGGCAAUGAAUCUAUUUUUCACACAAACAUCAAUUUAGCUUUGCAUUUAGUUCCCAAACAGCAGUUUAUUCUUAUUUGCAAAUCAUCUCUCCACUUCCGCUGUAUGAGUUGUAUUUUAUGAAGCAACAACCAUGAUGUGAAGAGGAAUUUGUGUGAUCAGAGGUGGAAUUAACACUGCUUGAAAGAGCAACGUUCUUUUGCUGUACUUGAGUUAAUUGAUGCAGUAAUUUAAUCACGGAGAUGCUGUUCACAUUUCAUGGAUGCCUGCAGUGUUCAUAACAGGGUAUUGGAUCCUUGGAUCUGGAAUUAUAGGUGGCUGUUCGCCACCCAAUAUGGGAACUGAACUCAGGUCCUCUGGAAGAGCAGCAAGAGCCAUCUCUCUGGCUCCCAGAAAUAGAUUUUCUUGAUAAAUGCUGUGAUGGCUAAUCCUGGGUGUCAACUUGACUGGAUCUGGGAUUAACUGAAAUGAGAGAGA